rnacentral:pre_miRNA from 2 species
UAUUAGGUUAGUGCAAAAGUAAUUGUGGUUUUUGCCAUUGAAAGUAAUGGCAAAACCACAAUUACUUUUGUACCAACCUAAUA